AUUGAACGCUGGCGGCAGGCUUAACACAUGCAAGUCGAGCGAGCGGCGGACGGGUGAGUAAUGUCUGGGAAACUGCCUGAUGGAGGGGGAUAACUACUGGAAACGGUAGCUAAUACCGCAUACCAUCAGAUGUGCCCAGAUGGGCUUAGCUAGUAGGUGGGGUAAGGGCUCACCUAGGCGACGAUCCCUAGCUGGUCUGAGAGGAUGACCAGCUAAACUGGAACUGAGAGAAGGUCCAGACUCGUACGGGAGGCAGCAGUGGGGAAUAUUGCAGAAUUGGCGCAAGCAUGAUGCAGCCAUGCAGCGGGUAUGAAGAAGGCCUUCGGGUUGUAAAGUACUUUCAGCGGGGAGGCGUGACCGGCAGAAGAAGCACCGGCUAACUCCGUGCCAGCAGCCGCGGUAAUUC
rnacentral:rRNA from 1 species